rnacentral:lncRNA from 1 species
UCCAAUGAAUGUUCAUCGUGUGCUCGUUGAUAACGGAAGCUCUGUCAACAUUCUUUAUUAUGGCACCUACCAGAAGCUUGGCCUCCCUGAUAAGGAUAUGAAAGUUGAGGAUGUCUAUAUUUAUGGGUUUGGUGGAGAGGCUGUAAAGGUAAAAGGAACAAUCCGGCUCCCGGUAACUCUAGGAGAAGGAACAUGCUCAGCCACUCAGGUUAUG